GAACCAAACACAACAUUAAGGUUUUUAUAUAUUUCUAAGGUGUUGUUCUAAUUUUAAAUUUUAAAAAGCUUCAAUCCAUAUGCCACGAAUUGGGUAUCAAGAUGGAUCAGAUCGGUCAGAAUGGUAUACCGUUGAGCGUCUUCUACGAAAAUAUGCUGCUUUAUAUGGCAUAAAGAUUUUUGUGUAUUAUUUUCGACGUUCAUCUUGAGGCCGGAGGCUGAACAGUGUAUUUAGCAAUUGCCACUAACAUAUCCAUGGUGUUGUAUCUUUCAGAUAAUUGACAAUGAAUUAUGUUGACUUCAUUCCAUGUUUGUGAACGUUCCAACUUCACUUUCAAUUUGCCGUCUUUGCUUUAGCUGGAGUGUUUGGAAAUCAGCCUUGUCAAUAGGGUGUUUGAAUGCAUAUUUUCCUUUACAGGUUAGUGCUCUUAUUUAUGCUUACAAACUGUCAUGGUUUAGAUGAUUCAGAGAGCAUCCAAUACACUCAAGAAGUAUUCGAUACUAAUGAAAAAUUAAAGAAAACUAAUUUCUAAUUACGGAUACAUUUAGAAAGCAAUGGAUAUGUAGCUGCAAGUAUUCGAGGAGUAUCAGUAUUUGAUGUGAAUACAACUCCCCUGGAUAAGCAUCUUUGCCUUGGUUUAUACCCAUUUUUUUUGGGUACGGAAACAAUAAAGCCAGGAUUUUAUUUAUAUCAUGAUUUCAAAAUUAGUUACAACUUUGUAAGGUUAGUUUGAGCCUAUUUGGUGCAACUUUCUGCAAGUUAAAAGUUGAUAAUUAAAAAAUAGAAGCGAAAAGCAUAUCUCUUUCACCUUUUUGAUACUCAAAUUUUAAGCUUGUUUAAGUUAUUUUCGCCUCCUAAACUUUUAAGUAGAAGAAACUGUACUAAAAUUCUGACAUAGAUUAAAAAAAAAAAAAGAAAAAAAAAAAGCUAUAGAUAGUCUCAAUAAAUUGUACCAAACAU